UUGUCUGUGAAGACCUGCAUGAAGGAAGCCGAAAGCAAAGCACUGACCUGAUGUACAAGAACUACAUAAAAGGCACUCUGUUUGGGUAAGGAGGCGCAUAUCUCCAAAGCCCAGUGCUCAUACGGGAAAAUAGAGUGUAGAUGUAGCAGGUAUAAGUGUGAAGGUAUUUGCG
rnacentral:ncRNA from 1 species